rnacentral:rRNA from 1 species
ACGUUAGCGGCGGACGGGUGAGUAACACGUGGGUAACCUACCUAUAAGACUGGGAUAACUUCGGGAAACCGGAGCUAAUACCGGAUAAUAUUUCGAACCGCAUGGUUCGAUAGUGAAAGAUGGUUUUGCUAUCACUUAUAGAUGGACCCGCGACGUAUUAGCUAGUUGGUAAGGUAACGGCUUACCAAGGCGACGAUACGUAGCCGACCUGAGAGGGUGAUCGGCCACACUGGAACUGAGACACGGCCCAGACUCCUACGGGAGGCAGCAGCC